GGCCUCGUAGCUCAGCUUGUAGAGCAUGCGCAUACAAAACGUGAGCAGCAUCCAUGCGUGGGUUCGAAUCCCACCGAGGCUA
rfam:Echinostoma caproni strain Egypt genome assembly, scaffold: ECPE_scaffold0036311